rnacentral:lncRNA from 1 species
AGGUGAGAGAUUGGCUGGCCGCUGGAGGGUUUGUUGUUUCAGACGUCUUUUGGUACCGUAUUCUGUUCCCAUACGGUAGUAUGAACAGUUGAAGAUUAUUUUUUUUUAACUUAAUUAAGAUUGUCACUCUCAGCUAUAUGUCUUCAUACAUAUAGUCUGAUCACGUUUUGUUGUGCUACCCUGAACAAUAUGAAUUCCUGUAAAUAUUUAGCUAUACUCCCUUUGUUUUUG